GUGAAUCAUCAAAUUUUUGAACGCAAAUUGCACUCUUGGUAUUCCGAAGAGGAUGCUUGUUUGAGGGGUGUUCCCAUAAAAUCGGUUUUUUAAAAACGGAACUGAGUUUUCCAAGGGUUCAUGAUUUUUGGAACUUUAAAUUCAUCUUAAAGGUAUCUUUGGUAUGAUAUUGGAAAUGGUUAUAUUCUUAAUACUCGUGAGUUUCAUUAACCAACGAUUACC
rnacentral:misc_RNA from 1 species